rnacentral:lncRNA from 1 species
CAACAAAAUGUGACCAAUACACAUGCCCACUGAAGAGCACCCGCUCCUGCACCCAAAGGACCAGUAUCACCAGAAAGAAGACCAAGUGCCAGCAAGUGGCUUUCGGACAGGUCUCAGCUACCCAUCAUGUUAUCCAGGCUACCAGUAGAGGUGUUCUAGAAUCUUCUCUGGCAGCCUGAAAUCAUUUUAUUGAUUUGUUCAUUUAACAAACCGUGAUUGUUCCUUCUGGGGCAGUGUUAGACUCUGGUGAUGUGAAGAUGGCAAGACUCUGUCUGGGAAACCCUUCCAAAGAGGAACAAUGGUCCAAGAGGCCCUGCCUGUCUCUUCUGUUCCCCCAGCAGCGACAGCUGUCCCUCAUCUUUCUCCAGCUCUGUUCCCUUGUGUGCCUGGGGAAGUGAGCUUAAGGCCACUUCCGGAAAUGAGGAAGGUCAGAACGCUGAAGUGUUUGGAAGUCAUUCUUCGCUCUCCACAAAGCUGUGGCUGGGGACCGCUCUGUGUCUGCCUGCGUUCUGAUUUAUUAAAUGUGUCUUGAAAACACGGUGUGAGAUCCCCCAAA